AAAUGACAGGGGAUCAACAACGGUUCUUCUAAGCAUCUUAAAAUUCCUUGAAGGACCUUAUGGUUGUUGCUACUGAGAAAAAAAAAUGCCUACCAAAGGUUCUUCCAAUAACACCAUAGGAGGUGUAGUUCAUCAAGGAACCUCUUUAGUUCUUUGGGGGGUUCUUGCAGGAAACCUAACUGCCCAACUGAAUUUGAGACAACAGCAGCAGGUGCAGGCUCUUAACUGAAAAAUGUAAAGAUCUCCUCAAUUUAAGGCUAUAUAGCUGCAUUGGGCGCAGAUGACAGGACUGCUUACUUACACAAGACUUCACCCUCCCUACACCUCUGAUGAAUAUAACAGGACACCUGUUCAAUCCCCAUGCACUGAAAAACCAUGUUGCCGAUGGAUACGGAGAACACCAACACAUUAACAUCAACACGC
ensembl:lncRNA